rnacentral:rRNA from 1 species
CAAUGGGGCGCAAGCCUGAACCAGCCAUGUCGCGUGCAGGAAGACGGCCCUAUGGGUUGUAAACUGCUUUUGUAUGGGAAAAAAUUGCUCGACGUGUCGGACAUUGCCGGUACCAUACGAAUAAGGAUCGGCUAACUCCGUGCCAGCAGCCGCGGUAAUACGGAAGAUCCGAGCGUUAUCCGGAUUUAUUGGGUUUAAAGGGUGCGUAGGCCGAAUGGUAAGUCAAAGGUGAAAUCCUGCCGCUCAACUGUACAAUAGCCUUUGAAACUGGAAUUCUUGAAUACAUUUGAAGUAGGCGGAAUGUGGUGUGUAGCGGUGAAAUGCAUAGAUAUACCAAAGAACACCGAUUGCGAAGGCAGCUUACUAAACUGUAACUGACGCUGAGGCACAGAAAGCGUGGGUAUCAAACAGGAUUAGAUACCCUGGUAGUCCACGCUGUAAACGAAGAUUACUGGUUGUUUGCGAUACACAGCAAGUGACUGAAGGAAACCAUUAAAUAAUCCACCUGGGGAGUACGGCGGGAACGAUGAAACUCAAAGAAUUUGACCGGG